AUGAUUCAUGUGCAUAACUAUUGAUUAUUGUUCAGUUCAUGAUUUCUUUUUGGGUUAGUAGUUACAUAUUUUGUUGGAACUGUUGUCAACUGGCGCACCUUGGCUCUGAUAGGAACUAUUCCAUGUCUUGCACAGCUUAUAGGUUUAUUAUUAUUCCUGAAUCUCCAAAAUGGCUGGAAAAUUCAGUUCAAAUGGAAUGUAUCACCUUGAGUAAUGGCGAAGCUGAUGGUUCCUUUGAAUUUGAAGAUUUCCAGCCUGCAUCUCUAAACACUACUAAGCAGCUUAUUGGAGACUUAAAUAACAUCGAUAUAGUCUUCCAUAUUGGAGAUAUAGUCUAUGCUAUGGGUUAUAUUGCACAGUGGGCCAGUUCACUGCACAGAUUGAGCCAAUUGCAUCAACUAAGCCAUUCAUGAUUGGAAGUGGUAACCAUGAGCGUGACUGGCCAGGAAUUGGAUCCUUCUACCAGAACAUGGAUUCAGGAGGAGAGUGUGGUUUGUUAGCCAAGAACAUGUUUUAUGUCCCCACUGAGAAUAGGGCUAAUUUCUGGUACUCCACUAACUAUGGCAUGUUCCGAUUCUGCGUAGCUCACACUGAACUUGAUUGGAGAGAGGGAUCAGAGCAAUAUAGUUUAUCAAGACCCUCGCAUUAGUUGACAGACAAAGACAACCAUGGCUAAUCUUUCUUGCACAUAGAGUACUAGGUUAUUCUUCUGUGGGCUUUUAUGUGGAAGAAGGAUCGUUUGAGGAACCAAUGGGAAGGGAGGACCUCGGAAAACUUUGGCAGAAGUACAAGGUUGACAUUGCCCUCUAUGGCAGCAGUACAAUUAUGAAAGAUCAUGCCCGGUCUACGAGAAUAUCUGCACCAGUCAAGAGAAACACAACUAUAUAGGCCCCUUGAAGGGAACGAUUCAUGUGAUUGCUGGAGGAGGAGGAGCAAGCCUUCAUGAAUUUGCUCCCAUCAAUACCACGUGGAGUAUAUAUAAAGACUAUGAUAACGGAUUCGUCAAACUUACCGCAUUUGAUCAUUCACACCUUUUGUUUGAAUACAAGAAGAGCAGGGAUGGAAAAGUGUAUGACUCUUUCACAAUCUAUCGAGAUUAUAGGGACAUCUUGACCUGUACUGUUGAUAGUUGCCCAGAAGUUACACUAGCACAGUAGUAUCUUGGUACAGAUAUAAGGGAAAUUUUUGUUGAUGAGUGUUCAUUAAUGUUGUGUGUGCUAGCAGUUCCUCAUCAUGUUCUGCUGCUUUAAUAUUUAUUAUUUUGAUUAAUCAAGUCUAAGAAACUGAGCCU